GACAUCACUCUCCGCCGACGAAUCCCACGAUGAAGGUGUUCGCAGUUCUGAUGCUUGCAGCUGGAGCCAGCGCGCUGGCAGCUCCAUCCAGGAGCCCGUUUGGGUACUCUUCUGUAUCCAGUUAUCAGUCACCUACGAGUUAUUCCCCUCCGUCUUAUUUCGUUCCCGAAUCGACCUACGUCUCUCCUCGGGCGUACAGACCGACGCCCUUCUAUGAGAGACCGGCGCCCUACAACUUCGACUGGGUGGUCAAGGACUACUCGGGCAAUGAUUACGGCCACCACGAACGGACAGACGGCCAGACCACCUACGGGGCUUACUACGUCCAGCUCCCGGACGGCCGCAGGCAGAAGGUGACCUACACUGUCAACGGCGACUCUGGCUACGUGGCCGAGGUGACCUACGAAGGCGAGGCUAAAUACCCCCAAACCGCAGCCGCCGUCCAGUCGACCGUCUUCCAGCCCAGUUAUGUCUACACUUAUGGGUAGAUUGUCUCUGGGGUAACUUCCUAAGGGGACUGGUGAAGUGGUGAAGCUUCUUCUAGUCUCGUCCAAAGUCCUGCCUGCCUGCCUGCUUGCCUGCCCAAUGCUCACGUCAUCCGAACUGACUCGCCUUUAUCCUGUUAUAAACGAAUGGCUCCUUUUUUUUCUCUUUUUUUUAUUAGAUUAUUUAUUCUUGAUAAUAACGACGUUUUCUGAAAUGCGA